GACGAACGCUGGCGGCGUGCUUAACACAUGCAAGUCGAACGAUAAGGCCCUUCGGGGUGCACGAGUGGCGAACGGGUGAGUAACACGUGGGUGAUCUGCCCUGCACUUCGGGAUAAGCCUGGGAAGCUGGGUCUAAUACCGGAUAGGACCACUGCCUGCAUGGGUGGUGGUGGAAAGCUUUUGCGGUGUGGGAUGGGCCCGCGGCCUAUCAGCUUGUUGGUGGGGUGAUGGCCUACCAAGGCGACGACGGGUAGCCGGCCUGAGAGGGUGACCGGCCACACUGGGACUGAGAUACGGCCCAGACUCCUACGGGAGGCAGCAGUGGGGAAUAUUGCACAAUGGGCGCAAGCCUGAUGCAGCGACGCCGCGUGAGGGAUGACGGCCUUCGGGUUGUAAACCUCUUUCAGCACCGACGAAGCGCAAGUGACGGUAGGUGCAGAAGAAGGACCGGCCAACUACGUGCCAGCCGCCGCUGUAA
rnacentral:rRNA from 1 species